UUCAGUUUUGGGCUUGCAUAUUUCAGUUUGUCAUCUAGUUCUGCCCAUGUAAGAGUUGUUUCUAGCUGGUUAUAUUUUCGUGAAGAUUUUCAUGGCAGAGGGCAGGCCUGGCGCAGUGGUGAAGUCCUCCCCACUUGUGCCAAGAGGUCCUGGGUUCGAACCAGCCUCUCUGCAUUGCACUUUGCAGGGGUAAGACUAGGUUCCUAUAAUCCCUCCCCAGACCCCACCUUGUGUGGGAGCUUCUAUGCACUGGGUCUGUCCUUUAAGAUUUUCAUGGCAGAUCAAGUAAAUAAGCUGUGA
rnacentral:rRNA from 1 species